rnacentral:lncRNA from 1 species
GGUUAACCAACCGGUUUCGAACCGAAUUAACCGUUAACCGAAAAUUUAAAAAAUUAUUAACCGACCCCCGACUGAAUUAAUUCGGUUAACCGACCGAUUAACCGAAUUCGGUCUGUUAACCAAAUUUUUUCAGUUUUACCCGAAUUUUGCACACCCCUAAGUACAGCUCGUUAAGCCUUUUUAUCAAUGGACUUAAUGUACGCCUUUAUGUGUGCUUUUCAAUAUGCAUAAUUGCUAACCUUUAAGAUAGGAGGACGAGAAGUAGAUGUACCUUCCAUAGCUUGAAUCUAGAAACAUUAAGGAUAUCCACUAGUUACGUUAAGUGACAUGCUCUAAUAUCAAAUGUUAGAUCAAAACACUUGUCGAGAAACAAGUGAGGUGCUUGAAAGGAGUGGCUAAGGAAGUGGCACUCAUUCAUACACUGCAAUAACAUGAAAAAAAAAUAGGGGACAAAAAGAUUGUUUAAACAAUUUGGUUUUCCUACUGUAUAGCCCAAAUUUUACCCGGGUUUAAACCCAUUUCCAUACCCCAAAAUUUAACCCAAAUAACCAACACCCUAUUAGCCCAACUAAUGCCUAAACUAACCUAAACAAUUAACCCAACAGAAGCCCAAACCCCAUUUUACAAAACCCACUUAAACCCCAACCCGUCAGCCCAAUAACACACUAAAACCCAACAUUAGCCCAAGCCCAAUUGAAACCCUAAACCCAAUUCAGAAAAGACAAAGCCAUCACAAACCCUAGCCCCCUAGCUUUUUGGCGCAGCAACCACCCCUUGACCUUCGGCCACCUACCCCUCUGCCAAAAGCCUGCUCCGCCGCUCCACCGGUCACGUCUCCACCGCCUCUCCAACAACUUGCACCUGCAAGGGAUUAGAAAGAAAAGACAGAAAAUAAUACAAAAUCAAGUGGUAUGGCUAUAAAAGCCAAAUUUAAACAUUUUGUAAGGGUUCGACCAUUUUUCAUCAAUAAAAAAGAGAUUUUUACUCAACAAAGGCAUAGAUUAACACCAAAAUAGUAAACAAAAAAGGAAUCAAAAGCAUCAAGCCAAAUCAGAGGUGAUUUCUUAUUUAGUAUUUUUUUUUAUAUUUCGUUUCGAAUCUUGGUUACUUUAUUUAUCUUUCGUUUCAUAUAUAUAUAGACAUAGAUAAAAAAAAGAAUAAAAAAAAAAUUACCUUUUCCGGCAACCGUGCACUGUGGCCGACGCCGGCGACGGUGGACGGCGGUCGGGGCUAGGCCGAAUUUCCCACUGGAAAUCGCCCAACUCUCCCUCUCUCCCCUUUUUUUCUGAUUUUGGUGCAAAUGACUUUUUUUUUUCUGAUUUUGAACUAUUUAUAGUGUUAAAAAACGGUGCCGUUUUGGCUUUAAAACCCAGGGCAUAAAACGACGUCGUUUUGUCCUGGGUCGAACCGACCCGACCCGCUUCAACUAGGAUCCGCGUGUUUUUUAAACGGAAGGGCUAUUUCCGCAUUUAGCCUUUCCGCUUUUUUAUGAUUUUACAAUCAGGUUAUUUUUACUUUUAAUUCG